CUCCUACGGGAGGCAGCAGUGGGGAAUAUUGGGCAAUGGGCGAAAGCCUGACCCAGCAACGCCGCGUGAAGGAAGAAGGCCUUCGGGUUGUAAACUUCUUUUACCAGGGACGAACACAAUG
rnacentral:rRNA from 1 species